rnacentral:rRNA from 1 species
ACUAAGCGUACACGGUGGAUGCCCUGGCAGUCAGAGGCGAUGAAGGACGUGCUAAUCUGCGAUAAGCGUCGGUAAGGUGAUAUGAACCGUUAUAACCGGCGAUUUCCGAAUGGGGAAACCCAGUGUGUUUCGACACACUAUCAUUAACUGAAUCCAUAGGUUAAUGAGGCGAACCGGGGGAACUGAAACAUCUAAGUACCCCGAGGAAAAGAAAUCAACCGAGAUUCCCCCAGUAGCGGCGAGCGAACGGGGAGCAGCCCAGAGUCUGAAUCAGUGUGUGUGUUAGUGGAAGCGUCUGGAAAGGCGCGCGAUACAGGGUGACAGCCCCGUACACAAAAAUGCACAUGCUGUGAGCUCGAUGAGUAGGGCGGGACACGUGGUAUCCUGUCUGAAUAUGGGGGGACCAUCCUCCAAGGCUAAAUACUCCUGACUGACCGAUAGUGAACCAGUACCGUGAGGGAAAGGCGAAAAGAACCCCGGCGAGGGGAGUGAAAAAGAACCUGAAACCGUGUACGUACAAGCAGUGGGAGCCUCUUUUAUGGGGUGACUGCGUACCUU